GACUACUGGGGUAUCUAAUCCUGUUUGCUCCCCACGCUUUCGUGCCUGAACGUCGGUGCUGGACCAGGAAGCCGCUUUCGCCACUGAUGUUCCUUCCGAUAUCUACGCAUUUCACCGCUACACCGGAAAUUCCGCUUCCCUCUUCCGCACCCUAGCUAUUCAGUCUCGAAUGCCAUUCCCAGGUUGAGCCCGGGGCUUUCACACCCGACUUAAAUAACCGUCUACGCACGCUUUACGCCCAGUAAUUCCGAUUAACGCUUGCACCCUCUGUAUUACCGCGGCUGCUGGCACAGAGUUAGCCGGUGCUUUUUCUUUGGGUUAAGUCAGUUCCCAGACGUGUUAGGUCUGAGCGUUUCCUCCCCACUAAAAGUGCUUUACAACCCGCAGGCCUUCUUCACACACGCGGCGUCGCUGGAUCAGGCUUUCGCCCAUUGUCCAAUAUUCCCCACUGCAGCCGCCCGUAGG
rnacentral:rRNA from 1 species